CUUUGAAGUUGUCUAUGGCCAUGNCUAAUCUCAUCUGAUCUCGCACGCUAAGCAGGGCCAUGCCUGGUUAGUACUUGGAUGGAAGACCACCUGUGAAUACUGGGUGCUGUAGGGA
rnacentral:rRNA from 1 species